UAUAUUUUAGUAUAUGAUGUACAAAAAUUUUUGAUGUUUGAAGAAAUGGUUUGACUCCAUUAAAUAUAA
rnacentral:tRNA from 1 species